AUUGACCCUGGGAUAAUAGAUGAAAGUGUUUUCUCACUUGCCUUCCCCUCCUGACCCCUUGCCACCAUUUUUCAUGCACUGUCUCCUCUUCAGCCAGACGGAGGAAUUCUUCCUCUGAUGAUGAAGGCCCAAUGACCCUCUCCUGCAUCCCGGCCAGGUCACCAAGCACAUGGGGGCAGCAGAGCAACCUGCAAAGUCUAUCCAGUGGAUGGCACAACUGCAAGGACCGUGGAUCAUCCAGCAAAGCCCAGGCUUGGCCUUACGAUUUGCUCCCUGAAUCUAUCAUGCGAUCAACAUGCUGGGUUCCUCGUGAGUAGAAGAAAAUUAGGAUGACUGCGGAACAGACCUGAACCUGACCUGAAGCCUCAGAGACAAGCUCAGCCUCGCCUCGGCCUGAAGCAGAACAGU